AGCAAAUUUUAGAUCGUUUACUUGUGUC
rnacentral:piRNA from 1 species